GCCGCAGCCGUAUACGUUAUUAUUGUUAUUCGGACUUCGGAGCUCCAGCAGUCCAGCCUAGUCUCGGUCCUCGGAUAUGGCCACGACCUCCGUUUGCCGUGCUGCCGUACCGAUCACCGAGUUUGGGAGCCAAUAAUUCGGUACUGCUUGAAAAAUUCACUUAAUUUGGAAAUUUUUCACCUAAAAUUUUUGGAGGCGCCUCUGAUUGCCUCCUGAUAACAGGGACGGCAGUCACCAUAGAUAAUAUAUUAAUAAAAUACCGCAGUAUCACGUUAUCACGCAGAAUUUUUCUGUUUUUAAUGUUUUUAAUGUUUUUAUUUUCAUUUACCCGCAUUACGCGAUUCGACGGAGGAAACUCGGUAUUCGAUUAUCGUUAGAUCUACUACACUCUUCCACGGUCUUCAAUCUAUCAGCUUCUAAGACCUUGCUCUACAAGUCUACACACCACGACGAAAAAACAUGGUUUACACUGUCUCUACUUGGGCUAUGACGUCUCGGAAUAGUCGGAACGUUUAGCGGACGCCGAGGCAGUGAUGUAAGAUGUUGAGCGCUUUCGAAUCGUCCAUUUGUCCCGUAUUCCACACGCUCGGUGUGGAUAACCUGCGUCGACGCGCUCUAGGAAAUAGGAAUACUUAAGUACAUCGAGAAUUCGAGACCAUGGGUAAACAUUCAGCGAUGUUUGAAACGUGGUAACCGCCUUACCAGUUCGUGCUGUCUCGUAAUAUCGUCGUGGUAAUACGUCGUAACCUUAGAUUAUGGGUAAUGGUCGUAAGUCGUAACCAUGCGAUUCAAAUUUUUGAGCGAUUUCGCGGUUCGAGCCCCUAGGCGUCGAAUAUCUCCCAGACGAGCGAAUAAUUCGCAUCCCAAUAACGAG